rnacentral:rRNA from 1 species
CCUACGGGUGGCAGCAGUGAGGAAUAUUGGUCAAUGGGCGGGAGCCUGAACCAGCCAAGUCGCGUGAAGGAAGAAGGUACUUAGUAUUGUAAACUUCUUUUGUCGGGGAACAAAGGCGGAGACGCGUCUCCGGAUGAGUGUACCCGAAGCAAAAGCAUCGGCUAACUCCGUGCCAGCCGCGGCGGUAAUACGGAGGAUGCGAGCGUUAUCCGGAUCUAUUGGGUUGAAAGGGUGCGCAGGCGUGAGAUCAAGUCAGCGGGAAAAUGACGUGGCUCAACCCCGGCCGGCCGUUGAAACUGGUUGUCUAGAGUUGGAGAGAAGUAUGCAGAAUUCGUGGUGUAGCGGUGAAAUGCAUAGAUAUCACGAAGAACUCCGAUGGCGAAGGCAGCAUACCGGCUCCAUACUGACGCUGAGGCACGAAAGCGUGGGGAGCGAACAGGAUUAGAUACCCGAGUAGUC